rnacentral:lncRNA from 1 species
UCACAUGAGUUCCUGGGUCACGAUUAAUGCAUCAGAAUGGCUAAUGUGGAGAGAAUGUGGGUGUCAUGGAAACAGCAAUCACCUGGGGAUGUGAGAUGUUAGAGCAACACUGGCUCCAUCAACAGGUGGACCACAGGUGGAUCCAUCUAUAGAUCUCAAUGCAGAGUUAUUCUGCUGUUGUGCAAAGGAAAGUUGUGCGUGGAGCCUUUCACGAGCUCCUCCUCCUCUGGCAGUAUCACAUGGUGUAAGUCAGUCAACACAACUUCUGUUCUUGCUUUCCUGUGUGUCCUUGAAUUCUCCAUCUCUCAAGACACUACUUCUCAUAGCACUGAACUUCAUGCAGCUGCCUCACAGCGAUAACAGUCAGCACCUGUUCAUCCUCAGCCAUGGAGGGGAGCAGGCAGCAUGGCCCAGCAGAGAUUCCAUAGCAGAAAACGUGACCUCCAAACUGUUGAGCAGACUUCAGUUACCUCUUUCUCCCUGGAGAGAUAAUAUGUUGGGGCACCUCUGAGUGAGUGCUGCUUGGCUAUACUUCAUUGUAACUUUUCACAUUCAGAACUGAGCAUGAAAAAUGCUGGGGGGGCUCUGUCUGCUCCACUGUACCCUUUCCACCCCCACACAUUUCUUUGCUGUUCAGGGCCCCAUCUUUGUACACAAGGAUGAAGUAAAGAAAGAGGUGGAAGACAGCAAACAGCUGAUGAAAUGUCAAGGACUCCUAGUAAAGUCUUACUAAAUCUUCUGUGUACUACCCAGUGAACUCAAAAAGAAAAGUCUACAUGGG